rnacentral:rRNA from 1 species
CCCUUAGAUGUUCUGGGCCGCACGCGCGCUACACUGACGAAUGCAACGAGCUUAUAACCUUGGCCGAAAGGUCUGGGUAAUCUCCAAAUUUCGUCGUGAUGGGGAUAGAUUAUUGCAAUUAUUAAUCUUCAACGAGGAAUGCCUAGUAAGAGCAAGUCAUCAGCUUGCGUUGAUUACGUCCCUGCCCUUUGUACACACCGCCCGUCGCUCCUACCGAUUGAAUGGUCCGGUGAAGCGUUCGGACCGUGGCCUUUGGACGGUUCGCCGUCUGUUGGCUGCGGGAAGUUCGUUAAACCUUAUCAUUUAGAGGAAGGAGAANUCGUAACA